UACAGAGGUCCCAAGCGUUGUUCGGAUUCAUUGGGCGUAAAGGGUGCGUAGGUGGCGCCGUAAGUGGGGUGUGAAAUUUCGGAGCUUAACUCCGAAACUGCAUUCCAUACUGCGGUGCUUGAGGACUGGAGAGGAGACUGGAAUUCAUGGUGUAGCAGUGAAAUGCGUAGAGAUCAUGAGGAAGACCAGUGGCGAAGGCGGGUCUCUGGACAGUUCCUGACACUGAGGCACGAGGCCAGGGGAGCAAA
rnacentral:rRNA from 1 species